rnacentral:rRNA from 1 species
AACGCGAAGUAACCUUACCUGGGCUUGAACCGCACAGGACCAUCUUCAGAAAUGAGGACUUCCCGCAAGGGACCUGUGUAGAGGUGCUGCAUGGCUGUCGUCAGCUCGUGCCGUGAGGUGUUGGGUUAAGUCCCGCAACGAGCGCAACCCUUACUCAUAGUUGCUACCCGCAAGGGAGAACUCUAUGAGGACUGCUCCGGAUAACGGAGAGGAAGGUGGGGAUGAGGUCAAGUCAGCAUGGCCUUUAUGUCCAGGGCCACACACGUGUUACAAUGCGCGCCACAAAGCGUCGCGAACCCGCGAGGGGGAGCUAAUCGCAAAAAAGCGCGCUCAGUUCGGAUUGCAGUCUGCAACUCGACUGCAUGAAGCCGGAAUCGCUAGUAAUGGCGCAUCAGAACGGCGCCGUGAAUACGUUCCCGGGUCUUGUACACACCG